UGACUCUGCCUGACUUCUUCCUUGGA
rnacentral:piRNA from 1 species